rnacentral:rRNA from 1 species
CCUACGGGUGACAGCAGUGAGGAAUAUUUGUCAAUGGGCGGGAGCCUGAACCAGCCAAGCCGCGUGAAGGAAGAAGGCGCCAGGCGUCGUAAACUUCUUUUGUCGGGGAACAAAGGGCGCCACGCGUGGCGUUGUGAGUGUCCCCGAAGAAAAAGCAUCGGCUAACUUCGUGCCAGCAGCCGCGGUAAUCCGGAGGAUGCGAGCGUUAUCCGGAUUUUGUGGGUUAAAGGGGUGCGUAGGCGGUCCGGAAAGUCAACGGUAAACGCCCGGGGCUCAACCCCGGCGAGCCGUUGAAACUGUCGAACUAGAGACGGCGAGAAGUACGCGGAAUGCGCGGUGUAGCGGUGAAAUGCAUAGAUAU